rnacentral:rRNA from 1 species
UGGGGAAUAUUGCACAAUGGGCGAAAGCCUGAUGCAGCGACGCCGCGUGAGGGAUGACGGCCUUCGGGUUGUAAACCUCUUUCAGCAGGGAAGAAGCGAAAGUGACGGUACCUGCAGAAGAAGCGCCGGCUAACUACGUGCCAGCAGCCGCGGUAAUACGUAGGGCGCAAGCGUUGUCCGGAAUUAUUGGGCGUAAAGAGCUCGUAGGCGGUUAGUCGCGUCUGCUGUGAAAAUCUCGAGGCUCAACCUCGGGCUUGCAGUGGGUACGGGCUGACUAGAGUGCGGUAGGGGUGACUGGAAUUCCUGGUGUAGCGGUGGAAUGCGCAGAUAUCAGGAGGAACACCGAUGGCGAAGGCAGGUCACUGGGCCGCAACUGACGCUGAGGAGCGAAACG